rnacentral:rRNA from 1 species
UUCCUACGGGAGGCAGCAGUAGGGAAUCUUCCGCAAUGGACGAAAGUCUGACGGAGCAACGCCGCGUGAGUGAUGAAGGUUUUCGGAUCGUAAAGCUCUGUUGUUAGGGAAGAACAAGUGCCGUUCAAAUAGGGCGGCACCUUGACGGUACCUAACCAGAAAGCCACGGCUAACUACGUGCCAGCAGCCGCGGUAAUACGUAGGUGGCAAGCGUUGUCCGGAAUUAUUGGGCGUAAAGGGCUCGCAGGCGGUUUCUUAAGUCUGAUGUGAAAGCCCCCGGCUCAACCGGGGAGGGUCAUUGGAAACUGGGGAACUUGAGUGCAGAAGAGGAGAGUGGAAUUCCACGUGUAGCGGUGAAAUGCGUAGAGAUGUGGAGGAACACCAGUGGCGAAGGCGACUCUCUGGUCUGUAACUGACGCUGAGGAGCGAAAGCGUGGGGAGCGAACAGGAUUAGAUACCCUGGUAGUCC